CAGAAAUAUAUCCAUACCUGCAGGAGGGCUUGAAGGGAGAUAAGCUGCUGAUCGCGUUCCUGGAGGAGGAUGGAGAAGACGCGGCGCUCCCUCAUCUUGUGCAGGAUGCCCACGCUCAGCGCCGCAGCGCCGAGUGCCAGCAGCAGCAGGAGGAGUAUCUUGUGCUGUUUACUGCAGAAUGAGGCUACUACUAUGGCAGCAAUAUGAAGAAACUGAACUUGUCUUUUUGGUUGCUUGGAUUCUGGAAAGAAAAGUAACUUGCUUAGUGAUGGAGAAACAUGGCACUGGGAGGUGCAGGCUGUUAGCUAGCGUAUACUGCUAUGCUUCACUUACUUCAAGGUGAGGCACAUGCUCUUCAAAAUUUGAUUAUUUAGUCCUUAUAGAGAUUAGGAGCAUAAAGUUUGGCACUUGACUUUUGUUAGUGUCUCGUAAGACGCUGGCAAUAGCUAGGAUGCCUGCACUUGUAUCUGAUCCCAGAGUAGGAUGUCUUGGAUCACAAAUUUAUUCCUUGGACAAACCCACAACUUUGCAUACAGUCCAUUGAACUCUUCUUUCUAUAGGAAAGUGGUCCGUAUCUUUGGGAUUUCUACCAAAUAAGCAAAUAAGCAAUUCAUGACAAUAAUUUUGACAAA